rnacentral:rRNA from 1 species
CGUAGGGUGCAAGCGUUAAUCGGAAUUACUGGGCGUAAAGCGUGCGCAGGCGGUUUUGUAAGACAGAGGUGAAAUCCCCGGGCUCAACCUGGGAACUGCCUUUGUGACUGCAAGGCUAGAGUACGGCAGAGGGGAUGGAAUUCCGCGUGUAGCAGUGAAAUGCGUAGAUAUGCGGAGGAACACCGAUGGCGAAGGCAAUCCCCUGGGCCUGUACUGACGCUCAUGCACGAAAGCGUGGGAGCAAACAGGAUU